rnacentral:lncRNA from 1 species
AAAAUCUGAAACACUUCUGCUCCCAAACCUUUCAAAUAAGGCACGUUCAAUCUGUGGCUUAUUUAGUGGCAGAUGCUAAAAUAAGCAGCUCAGUAGAAGCCUUGAGUAUGAGGCCAGAGUGGGAUCAAGAGUCAUGGCUCCCUCUUAACUGCCUGCAGGGAGGUGUGGAAUGGAAAAGACAACGGCAAGACGGGCAGAGCGGACAGCGCCCCCUGGUGGCUCACUGGUCAAACAGCCAGCAGGGGCUUGGGACCAGGCCGCAGACUGAGUGUCACGUGAGAUUACCUGUACAGUGGCCAUCAGCAGCAAAGCGCAGUGACAUGCCUGCCAUAGGUUCGCCACCACUGGCCCCAGCCUAUGGUCUAUUACGGCAGCCCAAGACCACAAGCAGAGGGAACUCCAUAUUCCACGUGGGAGAAGACAGUCCCAGUGGGUCUCCACCUUCCAGGCCCUAACAGGAUCCGCAGACCAGCCUUGAUGUUGGACAAACUGUUGGCCCUCUUCCUUCUUUGCAAAUAUAGGUAAUUAUCCUUUCCUGUUGUUCAAAAGCAAUUUUUCUUGG